AUUAUUUACAGUCUAUGCUAGGAAUAUACAGGGCGCUUUCGAGGAUAAAUGUUGUCUAGUCCCUUUCAAAGGUUGUUGCAUUAUGGGGAUACAAAUUGUCCGACUGCGCCUGUAGUAUAUGGAGCUAUACACCUUUAAUGUUGUUGUGAUCAAGGUCAUUCGUUUUUUUUAUGAAGUCGCUUUCAAGUCACUGGUUAUGGCUAGAAGGGAUCCAGCUUUUGUAAAAUAACGUCAAAGGGUGUCAAAGGCUUGCUGACUACAUGGAAGGAGUGAAAGAAAACAUUGAGUCUACCACCCAGGUGCUCAAACACAAUUGUGAGAUGAAUAAACAUGGUGAAGGCUUCUACAAGCUCGGGGUUUACUAUGUCCAAGGGAGGGGAAAUUGCAGAUAAUCUGAAGAUGGUCUACUGCUUCAUGACGGCUUACAGCAGUGGUGGUAAGAAGUCUGUGGAUGCGUGUCAAAACGUGGGUCUCCUCACCGACGUUGGUUGAGCCAUGAAGUCCGGCCCUGACUCGGGGCAAAAGGUUGAAGGAUUCACUAAUGUGUGUGUUUUUGUCAUUUUAGGCGGGAAUUGAAAAAAAGGGUCCAAUCCUUUGUGUGUGGAUGAUUUAUAUGGGGCUCUGUAAAAUAUAACAUGUUUUUUCUCUAUAGGGGGCCAACUUAAUAUUUUUGCAUCCAAUGAGAUUGUUCCUCUCGACAUGGAGAAAGGACAGAUUCUCAGUCCAACACAUCUAUCUGCCUGAACAUUGACAACAACUUGACUUGAUUAAAAUGAGUUCACGCAAA